AAAACUUAUCUCACUUCCAUCAAAUACAGCCAGGAAGGCAAGGACGAGGAAGGGAGAACUUUUACCAACAAACUCAUACAUAACGCUGCCGAAAGGCGCUCCAACUAAAGGAAGCACAAUGUACAAUGCCUGGAGUCUAACAUCAUCCAGUCCUCUAGAGAAACGACAAACUCUCAAGAGUCAGUUUUGAAUUUACGGAGCGAGAUAGCAGCAAAUUCCCAUAAUUCUGUCAGGAGAAGAAGCUCUGUUAAUCUGGGAAUCACAGACUGCAACAUUGCACAGGCAAAUGAAACAUGCAAAAACUCCAAGAAGAAACAGCGAUACGCAAGUAAAACAAGGAUUCAAGUGAAUGAACGAGGAAAGCAGAGAGUACCGGAGAUGUCCCAGUGCGUGCGCUCGCGUGACUGUGAGGAGGGUCUGUGCUGCGCGCUCUACUUGACUGGUAGAAGAUGUCAGCGCGUUCCCGUGAUGGGCGAGGUCUGCUUGCUGCGGGGACGCGCAAAAUUCCACAGAAAACUGGAGCGCUGUGACUGUGAGAAGAACUUGUACUGCCACGAGCAAGCCGACAGCCCGCGUGGACAUGGAGUGUGUAUCAUCCGAAGGACUGGUGAAAAGCCUGGUUAACCAGCCCCCCAAAAAGUUAAAUACUGGUAACCAUAAACCAUUACUCAGUAGCGUGCAUUUUGGAUCAAAACAUUACAGGAAAAUCGUGAUUUACGUUCAAAAGAUUUUUGAUUAACGUAUACAUCCAAUAAAACCCGGAAAGUCGUUCUUUUAACAAUAAAAAAUGAGUAACGUUUAUGUCUGUACAUGAAAACAAAUCUGACAAAGCACGGCCUGGGCGUAAAUUUCUGCAAAUUUUUAAUUAGCUAUCGAGCGACCUCUGUUGGGUAAGAACAUGCACGACUAGUGUGAAUGGUCAACCUUGUUCAAGUGUCCUUUUAAAGGAACAGUUCACUAGAUAAUGAAU